rnacentral:antisense_RNA from 1 species
GCAGAUAAUUUCUUUAUUGAAACUAUCAGGAAGUUUUACUAUGAAAUUUUACAUACAUGAUGGAAAGUGGAAGACAUAUAACAAUUAUAUUCCAGGAAAAAAUACUUUAAUAGUAUUGUUAUAUAGUGUAUUGGCUAAUUCCAGUGGAUCCUCAUCUCUCACUGCUGACAUUAUCUCCAAUAUUUGACUAAAACAAAACAAAAACAAAAAUGGUUAAAUCUCCAAGUAUACAUUUAGUUCUAAAGCUAUAUAAUAUUUUUCCACACAAAGGAAAAUAUUGGAGCACCUUUAAUAUAAUAAAGCUUAACAGUUAUUAAGUUUUUCAGCAAUAUCAAUAGAAAAACUUACUGCCAGUAACUGGAAACAGAUUUAUGGACUGUCUUGCAUAUAACUAGAGCUAAGAACCAGGUUCAAGUAAAUUAUUAAAGCAGCCAUCUGUAUUAUGUUCACCAAUUAUAGCAUUAACCGAGUGGAAAUGAAGAGUCCUUUUCAAUUGUGAGUCAUAGCAUGUUCAUUAGUGGGUCACGAUGAGCAUUUUAAACAUUGACAAGUACAUUGUACUCAGUAAGGGUAAGUACUGUUCCAUUUUUUGUUAGGUUUUAUUAUGUAUGUGUGUCCUAAGUCACAACGUAAUUUGUACUGUGGGACAGCGGCCACAGUUGGAAAUCUACUGCUAGAGAACUAGUCCUUGAGAGACAGCAAAUGAAGGUAUUAGGUUGCUGCAAAAGUAAUAUUUACUUGGAAAAAUGUGUGGUUAUUGAGGGCGAGGGCUUUCUGUACCUCUACCUUUGCGAGAGAAAUAAGCCCAGGUGUCCAUCCUUUAGUUUCUUUCUCUCUCUCUCUCUCUCUCUCUUCCUUCCCUUCCCUCCCUUCCUUUCCUUUCUUUUUCUUUCCUUUCUUUUUUUUUUCUUUUUUCUUUCUUUUUUGAGACGGCGUCUUACUCUGUUGCUCAGGCUGGAGUGCAGUGGCACGAUCUCGGCUCACUGCAACCUCUGCCGCCCGGGUUCAAGUGAUUCUCCUGCCUCAGCCUCCUGAGUAGCUGGGAUUACAGGCACCUGCCAUCACACCCAGCUAAUUUUUGUAUUUUUAGUAGAGACGGGGUUUCACUAUGUUGGCUGGCGUGGUCUUGAACUCCUGACCUCGUGAUCCACCCGCCUGGGCCUCCCAAAGUGCUGGGAUUACAGGUGUGAGCCACCGCGCCUGGCCACAUCUUUCAGUUUCUGUGCUUACAGUAAUGAUGAUCUGUAGUGUCUCCAUACUUAUUAUAUAUAAGUGGAAGAUUUUUAAUACAUGAAUUAGAAAGUUCCAAAGUCCAAAUUGAACAUUUAAAUAUUCUUUGCCUAAGCUUUUUGUUCCCUUAGUGAGUAUCUUAAAUGUUAACACCUAAAGGAAUUAAGGAUGGAGAUCUAAGAUUAAUGGGAAUUUAAAAAAUUGUUUUGUAAUGUGACACAAAAGCCUUGCUUGAUGUUUAUACUAAGCAAACACUACACUAAAAUUUUAUCUGACAGUCAAGAUACGCUAAAAGCAAAUCUAUUAACAUUUAAAUUAAGACAGUGAAAAUCCAUUUUUCUUAGGAAACUACUGAAUGUCCCUCUGUAUGCACUUCUCAGAAUUGGAACUCUUGAUUAAUGCUGCUGAUGACACAGUUUUGAAGGUCACAGCAGCUUUGCUAAGAUUAUAUUGCAUAGCAAAUUCAUUUUAUUGAAAUCGCUUAUAAGAAAUCUAUUGGGCUGGGCCCAGUGGCUCAUGCCUGUAAUCACAGCACUUUGGGAGGCUGAGGUGUGAGCCACUGUGCCCAGCCAGGCAAAGGUUUUUAAAGUCUUGCAAGAUCUACAUGAUUCCUGCCCUAUCUCCUUUCCAGCCCUUCCCCAUACUGAUACAAGUUAUAGCUUUAAAAAAAAUAAUUGCCAUUCUCCUGCUUAAAAUCCUUUGGGUAGUGAUAAAAUCUAAGCAAAAUGCUGGCAUAUAAGAGCCCUCACAAUCUGGGCUCACUCUACCUUCCCAGACUUGACUUCUGCUUACACUGUGCAUCCUACUUUCUGCCACACUUGUUCCUCUGGAUUAGCCAGGCCCUUCUGCAGUCUGCCUUUGCUUAAGGUGUUUGUUUGUCUUUCUCUGGCCUAACUCCCAGUCAUGGGUAAACAACUGAAAUGUCACCUUGGUAUAACUCUCUCCUGUUUCCCCUCAAAGCAGACAGUUGAUGUGCCCCAUGGUCCUGGUCAUAGAGUCCUACUUGUAUAACAGCACUACUAUCUUGGACUCUGUCUGCUUAUGUGCUCCAGGAGGGCAGGGGUCCUCACCUGACUCACUGAAUGCCUUAUCUAAAGUGCCAGGCACAGUGUACCUAUUCAUCUGGUGGAU